ensembl:lncRNA
GGGCCAGGCUGCCAUGAUCAGAUAUUAAAAUACAUUAACCUUGGUUUUGUGGUCACCUUGAGAGAUCGGGCCUUCCCUACCUAGUACUCUUACUGUACAGCAAACUUAAACAAAAGAGGAGGAAAACAGAACUAUAGAUCCACAGAUGAGAUGAGUGUGUCCACCAUUUUAACAUCCCCGCUGUCUUUAAUGGUAGGUAAGGGACCCGCUGUCUUUAAUGGUAGGUAAGGGACCCCGCUGUCUUUAAUGGUAGGUAAGGGACCCGCUGUCUUUAAUGGUAGGUAAGGGACCCCGCUGUCUUUAAUGGUAGGUAAGGGACCCGCUGUCUUUAAUGGUAGGUAAGGGACCCCGCUGUCUUUAAUGGUAGGUAAGGGACCCCUCUGUCUUUAAUGGUAGGUAAGG